GGUCUAGGGUCCCACCCGUGAGGGUAGGGAAAUCGAUCACUCAAAAGCAGGGUGAAGCUUUUGUCUGUGUGGAGGGGAUGUCAUCAGGAUGCCUGCCUCACACUUUGGGGGCUGAGGGGGGUGAUUGCCAAUGGCAGGUGCCCAGAAGGCCUAGGCCCCUUAAAGGAACUGACUGGAGACUCCUGUCCCUCUCUCCUCCCACCACCUUUCUAAGCCACUGUCCAGCCACUGGCAGCCAGGGAGGAGUGAUCCGAUUCCAAGAUCUGGCUCAGAGCCCCGUCCAUAAUGCUCUUUUCCUUUCAAAACUCUCCGAGUCCGUUCCAGUCAGUCUGGCCCUUGAAAGGCAGCCCGGCAGACACAGUGGUGCCCUCCCCACACCUCCUCAGUCUUAACAUUUCCAUCCCCGCCUGCUCAACUUCCAUGACCUCCAUCAACAUCCCUGUGCCGAAAUAUGUGAUGGCUGUAGUGACACACCAGGAAUGAACACACUCUCCUCCCUGCAGCCCUCAACCAACGACUAGUGGGAGCUGGCGUAUAUGUACCCCAGCUCCCACCCUCAGGGGUGAGAACCUGCUGAGUGCAGGCUCUCCACCACCUUCCAGAAUCCCCCAGCAGUGUCGAAAUGCUGCCCAGGCAACCCAAGCAUGUGAUGGACGAGGACAGGGCCCCCUGCCAGGCUCCUGGUGGCCAAGUGCUGUCUGGAUGUGGGAGCUGGUUCCUGUCUGACAUGAGAUGCUGUGCAGGUCUCAAACAGGAUGAAGCGCCCAAGACAGCAUCAUCGAACAGCUGGAGAAUAUUCACUGUGCACCACAUGAAGCUAAAUGCUAAGACGAGAAAUUACAGAUGACCAUGAAAUAGUGAAUAAUUUUAAGAAUUAUGCUUGGAUCAGGGACAACUCUGGAAUUUCAACGUAGCCACUUUGGAAAGAUUUACACUCACCUCAACGGCUUUACCCACUAAACGAUUUUGGAAUUGCCUUUUAAAAAAAGUGUUUCAUUUUCUCUGAUUUAAUUUUCAGCGAGGCACAACUUACACGUGGGAAAAUGCACAGGUGUUCAGUGUACAGUUCAGUCCCUGUCAACACACGUAGACACCUGGUGACCCACAAUUCAAUGAAGGGACAGAGCACUGUCACCACAGGCAGUCCCCUUGACCCCUUUGCAGUCGAAUGCAGGCACCUUGCCCUCUACACCUACGUUGUACAGUGUGCUUCCUAAAAACAAGGACAUUCACUUCUACGAGUACCGCAAAGUUGUCAAAACAUGGAAAUUAACAAUGCUAACAAUACUAUUACUGAAUCUACAGACCUUAUUCAUUUUGCUCAGCGUCUCACUCAUGUCUCACAGGAAGAGGAAGCCUUUCUGCCUGGGACUCAAUCAAGAAGCACACACUGCACGUACCUGUCCCACUUCCUCAGUCUCCUGGCAAGCUGGGACGGCUGCUCUGCCGUUUCGCGUUCACGCCCUUGCCGGGCAGAUUUUGUAGAAUGCCCCUGAGUUUGGGUUUGCCUGACGAUGCCUCUGGACAAGACUACUCUAGAAGUGCUGUGUGUCCUUCCCAGGGCGUCCCAGCAGGAGGCUCGCUGCCAGCUCCCCCCUCCGCUGCGCUGGGCCAGGGCAGGGCCAGCCAGGCCACCGCUGUCAGGUUACCGGUUUUUUCUUUGCCGUUAAUGAGUACCCCAAGGGAAUAUUGUUCGAGACUGUGUCAGCGUCCUGUGUAUCAGGCACUUAGCCCCUAGCUACAGCAUUGCUGACAGUUCUUGCUUGAAACGCCUGUGAUGGUGGCCAGAUGGUGACUUUGCGAAUUCGUCCUACUCAAAGGAGAGUUAUUUCCAACUCAUUCAUUCAUUCACUCACCCGUUCAUGUGUUCAAAUGUGGACUCACAGGUUCUCGCUUUAUUCUAUGGAUUAGAACCUGUUACUGUCACUAUCUAUUUUGAUUUCAAACUGCCCCAGCUUGAGCCAGCGAGAGCUCCUCCCAAAGCCAGCUGCCGGGCCCCUCUGACACGUCUGGCCUGAGCGAUUCCUGGGCGCUGAGAGACCAUGGGCCCCAGGUUUGUUUCAAAUUAGAUUUAACUUUCAUUAAACGCUCUUCUUUCAAAA